UACGAAGGGUGCAAGCGUUACUCGGAAUUACUGGGCGUAAAGCGUGCGUAGGCGGUUUGUUAAGUCUGUUGUGAAAGCCCCGGGCUCAACCUGGGAAUGGCGAUGGAUACUGGCGAGCUAGAGUACGGUAGAGGAGAGUGGAAUUCCCGGUGUAGCAGUGAAAUGCGUAGAGAUCGGGAGGAACAUCAGUUGCGAAGGCGGCUCUCUGGACCAGUACUGACGCUGAGGCACGAAAGCGUGGGGAGCAAACAGG
rnacentral:rRNA from 1 species